GAUGAAGAACGCAGCGAAAUGCGAUAAGUAAUGCGAAUUGCAGAAUUCAGUGAAUCAUCGAAUCUUUGAACGCACAUUGCGCCGCCUGGUAUUCCGGGGGGCAUGCCUGUUCGAGCGUCAUUUCACCACUCAAGCCUCGCUUGGUAUUGGGCAACGCGGUCCGCCGCGUGCCUCAAAUCGACCGGCUGGGUCUUCUGUCCCCUAAGCGUUGUGGAAACUAUUCGCUAAAGGGUGUUCGGGAGGCUACGCCGUAAAACAACCCCAUUUCUAAGGUUGACCUCGGAUCAGGUAGGGAUACCCGCUGAACUUAAGCAUAUCAAUAAGCGGAGGA
rnacentral:misc_RNA from 1 species